rnacentral:tRNA from 1 species
AGUUAAUGAACUUGUUAAAGUAUUUACUUUGAAAGUAAAAAAAAGAAAUAGUAUUUUCUAUUAACUUAUACUAAAAAUAAUUAA